rnacentral:rRNA from 1 species
GACGAACGCUGGCGGCGUGCUUAACACAUGCAAGUCGAACGGUAAGGCCCUUCGGGGUACACGAGUGGCGAACGGGUGAGUAACACGUGGGUGAUCUGCCCUGCACUUCGGGAUAAGCCUGGGAAACUGGGUCUAAUACCGGAUAGGACCCUGGGAUGCAUGUCCUGGGGUGGAAAGCUUUUGCGGGGUGGGAUGGGCCCGCGGCCUAUCAGCUUGUUGGUGGGGUGAUGGCCUACCAAGGCGACGACGGGUAGCCGGCCUGAGAGGGUGACCGGCCACACGGGGACUGAGAUCCGGCCCAGACUCCUACGGGAGGCAGCAGUGGGGAAUAUUGCACAAUGGGCGCAAGCCUGAUGCAGCGACGCCGCGUGAGGGAUGACGGCCUUCGGGUUGUAAACCUCUUUCAGCACCGACGAAGCGCAAGUGACGGUAGGUGCAGAAGAAGGACCGGCCAACUACGUGCCAGCCGCCGCCGUAA